CUGGCUGCAGCCGGCCGAGGCAGAAUAAUCCCUCCUGGAGCGGGGGGAGGUGUCUCAGGGGCGGAGCCGGCGACCCCCGGACGUGCCCGGGACUACAUUUCCCAGGAUGCUAUGCGCUGGGCUUCGUUCGGCGCUGAAUAGAGACCCGAGAUUGAGCUCUUCGCUGACAAUUGGAAGUGGCUUGUAUCAUUUUGGAUCUGAUGGAUAAAGAAAGGAGCCAUAUGCCUCCAGAAGACUGUUCCCUUGGUCAUAAGAGAGAACAUCUGAAGGACCAUUCAAGCAAAAACUAAACCCUGGUAGGAAAAGGGUCUCAAGGAAGACAAGGCAUGGGGCCAAGGAAGACUGAGGGAGAUGGCGACCUGCUGAGGAGCCAGAGCAGCAGAAUCCCUGGGACU